rnacentral:tRNA from 1 species
GCGGGGGUAAUUCAGUGGUAGAAUGCUUCCUUGCCAAGGAAGAUGUCGCGAGUUCGAGUCUCGUCUCCCGCUCCA